GUUGGCUAUAAUAAGCUAACCAUCACUAUAUAACCGUAACAAUGUGAAUUAUUGAUGGUAGCUAAAGGCUAUAUGUUGUAUUGUCUUCAUUGGUUUCACUUUUAUUUCUUUAGGAAAAGGAGAUGGCCAAAGGAAAAGCAAAGAUCGACAGCAGUGUCAGCUUAGCUCCACCGCAGCCUCGGUCACUCAGGUCAAGGAAGAGGGAAUGUCCAAGUGAUGAAAUCUCAGAGACUGAUGAUGUCCCGGCUACUCUCCAUCAUCAGGACACUGAAGUAAAUAAUACAGCAGUGGCCGCACUGUUACAGUGCCACCACUCCCCUCUGCAGGAAUCUACUAUGAUUUCAACUCAACAGUAUGAGGCAGCAGAACAGUCGUCUCUCGCCAAACAAGAUCCUAACACAGAAGAAAAACAACCAGAAGCAACAAAUGUGGCGGUUAAAGCUCUUGAAGAGCAAGAAGAGACCGCAGUUACCAAUCCCAACAAUGAUUUUCAUCCGGAGGGCGUUAAAGUACAUCCUGAUAAUGAUGCUAACAAGAGUGGAAAGGACCAGGAGGAAUGUAACAGCUCACCGUCUCAAACAUGCACCGAUCAACUCCAGGUCUUCUUGCCGAUCUCUGAAGAGGGUGAUUUGGAGGAGCAACUGAGUGCAAAGGAGACCUCUCAAUGCAAUUUGGAGAAAAAACAAGAAGCCAGCCAAGAAAAACCCGGUAAUGUGUACAUGGUUGAUGUCAAGGAAAUCAUAAAGGAGGCCGUUGCGGGGUUACCGGCCAAAAAGAAGCGACGGAUGGGUAUGUGUGGGCUGACAGAGAGAGAGAGGAGUCACUUUUUACACAGCACGAAAGCGUGA
rnacentral:lncRNA from 1 species